rnacentral:rRNA from 1 species
AUGAACGCUGGCGGCGUGCCUAAUACCUGCAAGUCGAGCGAACAGACGAGGAGCUUGCUCCUCUGACGUUAGCGGCGGACGGGUGAGUAACACGUGGAUAACCUACCUAUAAGACUGGGAUAACUUCGGGAAACCGGAGCUAAUACCGGAUAAUAUAUUGAACCGCAUGGUUCAAUAGUGAAAGACGGUUUUGCUGUCACUUAUAGAUGGAUCCGCGCCGCAUUAGCUAGUUGGUAAGGUAACGGCUUACCAAGGCGACGAUGCGUAGCCGACCUGAGAGGGUGAUCGGCCACACUGGAACUGAGACACGGUCCAGACUCCUACGGGAGGCAGCAGUAGGGAAUCUUCCGCAAUGGGCGAAAGCCUGACGGAGCAACGCCGCGUGAGUGACGAAGGUCUUCGGAUCGUAAAACUCUGUUAUUAGGGAAGAACAAAUGUGUAAGUAACUAUGCACGUCUUGACGGUACCUAAUCAGAAAGCCACGGCUAACUACGUG